GCAGGAUUACUGUUGGCUGAGAUGGGUAGACUUGCACUAACCAUACCUUUCUCUUCUGGUCCAGGAAGAGCAAGCCUCGCGCUGCAGAAAACCUGUAAACCAAUAUCAGAAUAAGCCAUAAAGAAUCCAUUCCUCACGGUAGUACCACAUUAACAAGUGAAUCAUUGACAGCUUGCAGAGUCUGGGCCAUAUAUACUUCUGAAUUGUCUCCAGCACUGGGUACCUGUAUGGAAACAUGGUAAGGCCCAAUGUAGUAG